ACUAUAAAUAGCAUAUAGAUAGAUCGAUAAAUAGUAUAUCGUGGUUACAUUCAUUCAAUCAUUUGAAGUGCUCGCGUACACCCAAACCCUUCGCACUAGUACUGCCCGACGAUCUUUGCUGCGCCUAUAAUUCUCUAUACUUCUAUAUAUUUCUUUUCUUUUUUGUGGGCUAUAGAAUUUCACACAUUGUUGCUAUACUAUUCUACUCCUUGUAUCAGAUCUUCCAUACAAGGGAUAAUCCGAAAAGAGAUAACAAUUCCUUGGAGAAGAUUCAAUGAAACUAUAUUAAAGUUUUGAGACCAAUCUUUGUUCGUCAUUGUCGUCAUCUCGGCUAUAUCAUGGCUGGAAGAACGCAUACAUAUAACCAGAGGAAAAACACGGAAACAGAAAUUCGAAGUAAAGAACGAGGAAAGGAAAAAAGAAAAAACGCAAGAGAGACAAACUUCCGCUAGAGCCUGGCUAAAGAUCGCCGAGAAAUCGGUGAUUGAUUUUUAUCAAUCCAACUCGGAAUCCAUGUCGAUGGUGCUGCCGGUGCUGGCGGUGGUGGACAGGAAAGUGGUGGUGGCGGAGGAGUCGCCGCUGGGGCUGGAUUCCAGCGGCGGCGAUGGCUCCUCCUCAGUCUCGGCCUCCUCUAGCUCCUGAUCGGUCUCGCCGCCCAAUUCGUCGUCCGAAUCGUGGCGGAGCAUUUGGAGGACGAGCCUCCCCUGGCUGCGGAUGGGCUGGAAGAGCAUGAGCUGCGCGCCGUGCGCCGCCUUGAUCUCGUGGAGCACCACGCGAUUGUUGCUGCGAUUGGCCGAGAGGAGCGUCCACGGCACCUGGAGCGGCAGAUGGUUGUAGCUCGUGCGCGCCAGCGAUGGCAUCGGCGGCGGGAAUUCCCCCUUUCUGAAGCGGUGGGGGUGCUGAUCGUCCUCCGCGCUGCUCUUCUCCAUUUGGGGCAGCUGGAUCACCGAAUCGACCAUCACGGGACCUCUCAUUCUUGCCUCCUUUUCUUUUUCUCCUCCCUCGCUAGCUGGAUCGAUCAGACGAUCCGGGCGCGCGGCGCGACUGGAUUGGAUUUCAAUCGGUUAAAAAACAGAGGAAGAUAGAGGAGCGCCAGGCCAGAGGGGAUCCCAGAAUCGAUCCAAUCGCGCAAAGGGAAUCCAAUCCAAUAGACUGGGAACUGUGAUGGGCGCUACUACUGCAUUGAUCGCUCACGCUCUUGGGUGAAAGACACAGGAAGAAAACUAAGUGGACUACCUAGUAGCAUAUGACUGGUGGUAUAUAUAGGAAUAUCCCCCCGGCGGCUAGGGCUUUGCUUUCACUCUCCCUAUAAUUCAAACCAAGAGAAUCAGUGUCAGGGCCAAAACUAGCAUGCUUCAUGACAACACGAAACCAUGUAUCAUAGCCUAAUUCUUCUAACGGAUUUUCC
rnacentral:lncRNA from 1 species